GCUUGUCUCAAAGAUUAAGCCAUGCAUGUCUUAGUGUAAAUAACUCUUAUGAAACUGCGAAUGGCUCAUUAAAUCAGUUAUCAAAUACGUGAUGGUCGCCUACUACAUGGAUAACCGUAGUAAUUCUAGAGCUAAUACAUGCACCAAAACCUGACUUUACGGAAGGGUCGUGUUUAUUAGAUACAAAACCAGCAUCUCGUUGGUGAGUCAUAAUAACCAAGCGAAUCGUCGGUUUACCGACGAUAGAUCGUUCAAGUUUCUGACCUAUCAGCUUUGACGGUAGGGUAUUGGCCUACCGUGGCAAUGACGGGUAACGGAGAAUUAGGGUUCGAUUCCGGAGAGGGAGCCUGAGAAAUGGCUACCACAUCCAAGGAAGGCAGCAGG
rnacentral:rRNA from 1 species